rnacentral:rRNA from 1 species
CCUACGGGCGGCAGCAGUGGGGGAUAUUGCACAAUGGGGGGAACCCUGAUGCAGCGACGCCGCGUGGGUGAAGAAGCGCCUCGGCGCGUAAAGCCCUGUCAGCAGGGAAGAAAAUGACGGUACCUGAAGAAGAAGCCCCGGCUAACUACGUGCCAGCAGCCGCGGGAAUACGUAGGGGGCAAGCGUUAUCCGGAUUUACUGGGUGUAAAGGGGGCGCAGACGGCGAUGCAAGCCAGGAGGGAAAGCCCGGGGCCCAACCCCGGGACUGCGCUUGGAACUGCGUGGCUGGAGUGCAGGAGGGGCAGGCGGAAUUCCUGGUGUAGCGGUGAAAUGCGUAGAUAUCAGGAGGAACACCGGUGGCGAAGGCGGCCUGCUGGACUGCAACUGACGUUGAGGCCCGAAAGCGUGGGGAGCAAACAGGAUUAGAUACCCCAGUAGUC